AGAGUUUGAUCNUGGCUCAGAAUGAACGCUGGCGGCAUGCGUAACACAUGCAAGUCGAACGAGAAAGUUUCCUUCGGAAGGNGAGUAGAGUGGCGCACGGGUGAGUAACACGUAAGUAAUCUGUCAUCGAACCCGGGAUAACAUUGCGAAAGNGAUGCUAAUACCGGAUAAAGUUAUUAAUACUGCGGUAUAAAUAAUGAAAGGCGGCUUUCGGGCAGUCGAUCGAUGUUGAGCUUGCGUCCCAUUAGCUAGUUGGUGAGGUAAGAGCUUACCAAGGCGACGAUGGGUAGCUGGUCUGAGAGGAUGAUCAGCCACACUGGGACUGAAACACGGCCCAGACUCCUACGGGAGGCAGCACCCAGGGAUUUUGCGCAAUGGGGGAAACCCUGACGCAGCAAUGCCGCGUGAGUGAAGAAGGCCUUCGGGUCGUAAAGCUCUGUCAGAUGGGAAGAAGUUAUGUAUCAUUAAUAGUGAUGUGUAUUGACGGUACCAUCAAAGGAAGCACCGGCUAACUCCGUGCCAGCAGCCGCGGUAAUACGGAGGGUGCAAGCGUUAUUCGGAAUCAUUGGGCGUAAAGGGCGCGUAGGCGGUUUGACAAGUCAGGUGUGAAAUCCCGGAGCUUAACUCCGGAUGGUCAUUUGAAACUGUCAAACUUGAGUUCGGCAGAGGAAAGCGGAAUUCCUGGUGUAGCGGUGAAAUGCGUAGAUAUCAGGAGGAACAUCGGUGGCGAAGGCGGCUUUCUGGUCCGAUACUGACGCUGAUGCGCGAAGGUGUGGGUAGCAAACGGGAUUAGAUACCCCGGUAGUCCACACAGUAAACGUUGAUUACUAGGUGUUGGGUGCAUAAAGCAUUCAGUGCCGAAGCAAACGCAUUAAGUAAUCCGCCUGGGGAGUACGGUCGCAAGAUUAAAACUCAAAGGAAUUGACGGGGGCCUGCACAAGCGGUGGAGCAUGUGGUUUAAUUCGAAGCAACGCGAAGAACCUUACCUGGACUUGACAUCUCGGGAAUCCCUUAGAGAUAAGGGAGUGCCUUUCGGGGAACCCGAAGACAGGUGCUGCAUGGCUGUCGUCAGCUCGUGCCGUGAGGUGUUCGGUUAAGUCCGGCAACGAGCGCAACCCUUAUCUUCAGUUACCAUCAUUAAGUUGGGGACUCUGAAGAGACUGCCCGGGUUAACCGGGAGGAAGGCGGGGAUGACGUCAAGUCCUCAUGGCCCUUAUGUCCAGGGCUACACACGUGCUACAAUGGCAGGAACAGAGGGAAGCAAGUCCGCGAGGCCAAGCAAANNNCAAAAAUCCUGUCCCAGUUCGGAUNNNAGUCUGUAACUCGACUCCUUGAAGUUGGAAUCGCUAGUAAUCGCGGAUCAGCAUGCCGCGGUGAAUACGUUCCCAGGCCUUGUACACACCGCCCGUCACANNNAGAGAGCUGGCUGUACCCGACGUCGUCGAGCUAACCCUUCGGGGAGGCAGGCGCCUAAGGUAUGGCUGGUGAUUUGGGUGAAGUNNUAACAAGGUNNNNGUAGGNNAACCUGCGGCUGGAUCACCUCCUUA
rnacentral:rRNA from 1 species